rnacentral:rRNA from 1 species
CGAGCGGAAAGGCCCUUUCGGGGGUACUCGAGCGGCGAACGGGUGAGUAACACGUGAGUAAUCUGCCCUGCGCUCUGGGAUAGCCACCGGAAACGGUGAUUAAUACCGGAUAGGACCACUUCACGCAUGUGAUGGUGGUGGAAAGUUUUUUCGGCGCAGGAUGUGCUCGCGGCCUAUCAGCUUGUUGGUGAGGUAACGGCUCACCAAGGCUUUGACGGGUAACCGGCCUGAGAGGGUGACCGGUCACACUGGGACUGAGACACGGCCCAGACUCCUACGGGAGGCAGCAGUGGGGAAUAUUGGACAAUGGGCGGAAGCCUGAUCCAGCAACGCCGCGUGAGGGAUGACGGCCUUCGGGUUGUAAACCUCUUUCAGUACCGACGAAGCGAAAGUGACGGUAGGUACAGAAGAAGGACCGGCCAACUACGUGCCAGCAGCCGCGGUAAUACGUAGGGUCCGAGCGUUGUCCGGAAUUAUUGGGCGUAAAGGGCUCGUAGGCGGUUUGUCGCGUCGGGAGUGAAAACACCGGGCUUAACUCGGUGCUUGCUUUCGAUACGGGCAGACUAGAGGUAUGCAGGGGAGAAUGGAAUUCCUGGUGUAGCGGU